UAGCGAAAUCAGGAAUUGAACCCAAUCUAAAAGUUCAUGAGACUUUUGUGCUACCAUUACACUAUUUCGCU
rnacentral:tRNA from 1 species